rnacentral:rRNA from 1 species
AGAGUUUGAUCAUGGCUCAGGACGAACGCUGGCGGCGUGCCUAAUACAUGCAAGUCGAGCGGACCGACGGGAGCUUGCUCCCUUAGGUCAGCGGCGGACGGGUGAGUAACACGUGGGUAACCUGCCUGUAAGACUGGGAUAACUCCGGGAAACCGGGGCUAAUACCGGAUGCUUGAUUGAACCGCAUGGUUCAAUCAUAAAAGGUGGCUUUUAGCUACCACUUACAGAUGGACCCGCGGCGCAUUAGCUAGUUGGUGAGGUAACGGCUCACCAAGGCGACGAUGCGUAGCCGACCUGAGAGGGUGAUCGGCCACACUGGGACUGAGACACGGCCCAGACUCCUACGGGAGGCAGCAGUAGGGAAUCUUCCGCAAUGGACGAAAGUCUGACGGAGCAACGCCGCGUGAGUGAUGAAGGUUUUCGGAUCGUAAAACUCUGUUGUUAGGGAAGAACAAGUACCGUUCGAAUAGGGCGGUACCUUGACGGUACCUAACCAGAAAGCCACGGCUAACUACGUGCCAGCAGCCGCGGUAAUACGUAGGUGGCAAGCGUUGUCCGGAAUUAUUGGGCGUAAAGCGCGCGCAGGCGGUUUCUUAAGUCUGAUGUGAAAGCCCCCGGCUCAACCGGGGAGGGUCAUUGGAAACUGGGGAACUUGAGUGCAGAAGAGGAGAGUGGAAUUCCACGUGUAGCGGUGAAAUGCGUAGAGAUGUGGAGGAACACCAGUGGCGAAGGCGACUCUCUGGUCUGUAACUGACGCUGAGGCGCGAAAGCGUGGGGAGCGAACAGGAUUAGAUACCCUGGUAGUCCACGCCGUAAACGAUGAGUGCUAAGUGUUAGAGGGUUUCCGCCCUUUAGUGCUGCAGCAAACGCAUUAAGCACUCCGCCUGGGGAGUACGGUCGCAAGACUGAAACUCAAAGGAAUUGACGGGGGCCCGCACAAGCGGUGGAGCAUGUGGUUUAAUUCGAAGCAACGCGAAGAACCUUACCAGGUCUUGACAUCCUCUGACAACCCUAGAGAUAGGGCUUCCCCUUCGGGGGCAGA